AUACGGAGGAUCCGAGCGUUAUCCGGAUUUAUUGGGUUUAAAGGGUGCGCAGGCGGCCAUUUAAGUCAGCGGUUAAAUCGUGGGGCUCAACCCCAUUCUGCCGUUGAUACUGGGUGGCUUGAUUGCGGUCGAGGUUGGCGGAAUUCGUUGUGUAGCGGUGAAAUGCAUAGAUAUGACGAAGAACACCGAUUGCGUAGGCAGCUGACCAGACCGCAAAUGACGCUCAUGCACGAAAGUGCGGGGAUCUAACAGGAUUAGAUACCCUGGUAGUCCGCACAGUAAACGAUGAAUACUUGUUUUCGGCGAUAUAAUGUCGGAGGCAAAGCGAAAGCGAUAAGUAUUCCACCUGGGGAGUACGCCGGCAACGGUGAAACUCAAAGGAAUUGGCGGGG
rnacentral:rRNA from 1 species